rnacentral:misc_RNA from 1 species
UGAUAUUACAAUGCAAUAAAUACUCCCAAAGCAAACAAACAAUACACAUCAUCAGCCUAUUAUGCUCUUUGUACAUCCAGGUUACAGCUGCAGGACCUUGCAUGAAUCAUGAUCCUGCCAAAUUGUUGACAAUGACACUGAAAACAUAGAUUUUUUCAGCACACAAUAUUUUAAUUCAACAAACAGGUGUUAAAUACCCUCACAGUACUACCACCAUAACCACCUCCCUCUGUAUAUAGCUUGUCGAUGACAAGCUAUAUGA